rnacentral:rRNA from 1 species
CCUACGGGGGGCAGCAGUGGGGAAUAUUGCACAAUGGGGGAAACCCUGAUGCAGCGACGCCGCGUGAGUGAAGAAGUAUUUCGGUAUGUAAAGCUCUAUCAGCAGGGAAGAAGAAAGACGGUACUUGACUAAGAAGCCCCGGCUAACUACGUGCAAGCAGCGGCGGUAAUACGUAGGGGGCAAGCGUUAUCCGGAUUUACGGGGUGUAAAGGGAGCGUAGACGGCUGUGCAAGUCUGAAGGGAAAGCCCAGGGCCCAACCCUGGGACUGCUUUGGAAACUGUGGGGCUAGAGUGCGGGAGGGGUAAGUGGAAUUCCUAGUGUAGCGGUGAAAUGCGUAGAUAUUAGGAGGAACACCAGUGGCGAAGGCGGCUUACUGGACAGUAACUGACGUUGAGGCUCGAAGGCGUGGGGAGCAAACAUGAUUAGAUACCCUGGUAGUC